rnacentral:tRNA from 1 species
GGUCUUGUGGCCCAAUGGCAAGGCGUUUGACUACGACUGUACAAGAGUACGGCAGCAUAUCAAAAGAUUGCAGGUUCGAUCCCUGCCAAGAUCA